CUGAGUACGACGGAGCACGUGAAAUUCCGUCGGAAUCUGGGAGGACCAUCUCCUAAGGCUAAAUACUCUCUAGUGACCGAUAGUGAACCAGUACCGUGAGGGAAAGGUGAAAAGCACCCCGGAAGGGGAGUGAAAUAGAACCUGAAACCGUGUGCUUACAAGUAGUCAGAGCCCGUUAAUGGGUGAUGGCGUGCCUUUUGUAGAAUGAACCGGCGAGUUACGAUUUGAUGCAAGGUUAAGCAGUAAAUGUGGAGCCGUAGCGAAAGCGAGUCUGAAUAGGGCGUUUAGUAUUUGGUCGUAGACCCGAAACCAGGUGAUCUACCCUUGGUCAGGUUGAAGUUCAGGUAACACUGAAUGGAGGACCGAACCGACUUACGUUGAAAAGUGAGCGGAUGAACUGAGGGUAGCGGAGAAAUUCCAAUCGAACCUGGAGAUAGCUGGUUCUCUCCGAAAUAGCUUUAGGGCUAGCCUCAAGUGAUGAUUAUUGGAGGUAGAGCACUGUUUGGACGAGGGGCCCCUCUCGGGUUACCGAAUUCAGACAAACUCCGAAUGCCAAUUAAUUUAACUUGGGAGUCAGAACAUGGGUGAUAAGGUCCGUGUUCGAAAGGGAAACAGCCCAGACCACCAGCUAAGGUCCCAAAAUAUAUGUUAAGUGGAAAAGGAUGUGGCGUUGCCCAGACAACUAGGAUGUUGGCUUAGAAGCAGCCAUCAUUUAAAGAGUGCGUAAUAGCUCACUAGUCGAGUGACACUGCGCCGAAAAUGUACCGGGGCUAAACAUAUUACCGAAGCUGUGGAUUGUCCUUUGGACAAU
rnacentral:rRNA from 1 species